rnacentral:lncRNA from 1 species
CUUCUCGGAAGGUCACCUAUCCUGAAACUACUGCAGCCCAAGCACGCUUAACUGUAGAAUUCUCUCGUGAUGGCUGACCGAAAAGAUAAGUGCACUUUGGUGACAUAGGUGGUCAAAUUAAUUUUUUUAAACCUCUCCGCAUGCACCACCAAACUGUAUCAUUAAGGUAAGUUUAACAAAGUCAUUUAGCUACUUUGGAGUAUUGUAUUUAUUAAAUAAUAAUUACAAAAAGUAUUAAACAGUUUCAUUGUUUUUAAUUUGUUUAAGAAUGAAACUGCUACAUUUAAUACAAAAUAUUCAUAUCCUGAAAACUGUUCCGCUUCUACUAUGUAGAUGCAUGGGACACAUGAAUGCUAAUGGUAGUAUUAAAUGAAACUUUACAAUCAUCUAUUAGCAAAAAUGUCACACAAAUCCAACCUUUGUUAUCGUUGAAAAGUCUAAUAUGGCGAGAACUCUACCUUUGUUAGACCAACCGUUCAUAUUGAUCUUCCCUAAAUUUAUAAGCGUUUAUUUCGGUAAAACGUUGAGAAAAUGCAAGCCAUCUUUGUUUCCUUAAUUUUAGACUUGUAUCAAAAUACCAAUCCUGGAUAUCUUUGUUAAGACUAAACAUAAACCAUCAAACUUUUGUGUUGGAUACCAGGUAUAUACGGGCUGGUAAUCCUGGAUACAUGGUACUUACUUCAUCCACUUAAAACUGUGAGUUGAUAGAGCUUUGAAAAAGAUCAAAGGGUAUGAAAAAUCUGUAAUUAGACUGGAAGAAAUCCUUUGAAUUCUCAAGAUCUGGAAGAAAUACGUACCAUCAAUAUCCACUUCUUGAAUACAGCCGUAACUGUCAUUCCAUUAUCUUCAACAUCAAUGAGUUCCUGAAAAU